GGACGGAGACAGCCGGGCAGGCGGGCGGGCGGCCCUUCGCGCUGGUAGGCGCGGCACCUGCGGGCAGAAGCAUCGGCUGCGCAGAGCCCAGACGACCCGACUCCGAGCUGCCGCUGAGAUGAGCGCAGUGUCGGAGCCCCAGGCUGCCCACGGUGCCCCGGAGAAGCCGGCCAGCACGGCGAUCCUGUGUAACACCUGCGGGAACGUGUGCAGGGGGGAGGUGCUGCGGGUGCAGAGCAAGUACUUCCACAUCCAGUGCUUCGUCUGCAAAGAAUGCGGCUGUGACCUGGCCGAGGGCGGCUUCUUCGCGCGGCAGGGCGAGUACAUCUGCACCCAGGACUACCAGAGGCUGUACGGGACCCGCUGCUUCAGCUGCGAUCAGUUCAUCGAGGGCGAGGUGGUGUCGGCGCUGGGCAAGACCUACCACCCAAACUGCUUCGUGUGUGCCGUCUGCCGGUUGCCCUUCCCGCCCGGGGACCGAGUGACCUUCAACGGCAAGGAAUGCAUGUGCCAGAAGUGCUCCCUGCCCACGGCGGCGGGCGGCAGCGCGCCCCUGUCCCAGGGCCUCUGGAGUUGCAAGGGCUGCGGAGUGGAGAUCAAAAACGGCCAGUCCCUGGUGGCCCUGGAGAAACACUGGCAUCUGGGCUGUUUCAAGUGCAAGACGUGCGGGAAACAACUGAACGCGGAGUAUAUCAGCAAGGAUGGGCUGCCCUACUGUGAGGCGGACUAUCACAGCAAGUUCGGGAUCCGCUGCGAUGGCUGUGAGAAGUACAUCACGGGGCACGUGCUGGAGGCGGGGGAGAAGCACUUCCACCCUCUGUGUGCGCUAUGUGUCGGGUGCGGCCGGAUGUUCGCGGAAGGCGAGGAGAUGUAUCUGCAAGGCUCCUCCAUCUGGCACCCGGCGUGUCGACAGGCAGCCAGAACUGAAGACAAAAGCAAGGAAACCAGAACCUCUUCAGAGAGCAUUUCCGUCCCUGCUUCCAGCACCUCAGGGUCUCCGAGCCGCGUGAUUUAUGCCAAGCUGGGUGAUGAGAUCCUUGACUACAGAGACCUGGCCGCUCUCCCUAAGAACAAGGCCAUCUACAGCAUCGACCGCCCCGACAUGAUCUCCUACUCGCCCUUCAUCAGCCACUCGGUGGGGGACAGGCAGAGCUGCAGCGAGUCCCCACGGCUGCUCUCGCCGACGCCGCCCGAGGGGUAUCAGGAUGACCGCUCCUACAAGCAGUGCCGGACCUCCAGCCCGAGCUCCACCGGGUCGGUCAGCCUCGGCCGUUACACCCCGACCUUGCGGUCGCCCCAGCACUACAGCCGUCCAGCUGGUACUGUGAGUGUUGGUACCAGUAGCUGCCUGUCCCUGUCCCAACACCCAAGCCCUACCUCCGUGUUCAGACAUCAUUACAUCCCCUACUUCCGAGGCAGUGAAAGUGGCCGGAGCACCUCCAGCCUCUCCGUGCUCUCAGACAACAAGCCUCCCCCCUCCACCUACCAGCAGGCUCCUCGCCACUUCCACGUCCCAGACACUGGCGUCAAAGAUAACAUCUAUAGGAAACCCCCCAUCUACAAGCAGCAUGGUCCUGUAGCCCAAUCCCCAAUUUCCAAGCUCUCGGGCCUGAUGUCAGUCUUGUCCCUGGUGGUGCACAAGGCAGGGUGCUCCAAAAGGCUAGAAGGUCCGAGCCCUCCGCAGGCUGCAGCCGGGCGGCGAUCGGAUGGGGAGGACGGAAGUUUCGACGCGGAUAACAGGAAGCAGAAGACCAACUGGCUGCUUCUCAAGGGGGACGGAGACACUAGGACCAACUCUCCAGACCUAGACAGCCAGUCUUUGGCCCACAGUAGCGGGACUGAUAGAGGUCCUCUCCAAACGAUGCCAGGGGACAACAUUUACUCACGGUUCCCCUAUUCCAAGUCUGACCCUGUCCCAGGACAUGGCAAGAAUGGCUUGGACCACCGGAAUGCCAAUCUGGCCCCUUGUGGAGCAGACCUGGAUGCCAGCUGGGGCACGCGAGAGUACAAGGUAAGAGGGGCCGCCCGAUCCCGCGCUGACCUCCUGCACCUGCCCAGGUUAAAAGUUCCUUUUGUGCUUUCCCUGUGAAGUGUGUGUGUCAGAUGCAGACGCAAAUCUAUCCUUAUGACGCCCUCAUCGUCACAAACCGAAUCCGCGUGAAGCUGCCUAAAGACGUGGACCGGACGAGACUGGAGAGACACUUGUCGCCCGAGGAGUUCCAGGAAGUGUUUGGGAUGAGCAUGGAAGAGUUUGACCGCCUGGCCCUCUGGAAAAGGAACGACCUCAAGAAGAAAGCCCUGCUGUUUUGACGCGCCGAGGCCCUGACCAUGGGCACGCCUGCGGGAGCCACCAGACCCCUCCUCUUGCACUUGGCUUCGGCUUCUCUGUGUCCACGGUGGACGGUGGGCGCCUGGAAGGGCCGGGCUGGGGCCUGGGGGCGGGAGGAGGUCCCAGAGCAGGUGCAGCCCCCCCCACCCCCCGUUUCUGCCAGCAGCGCUCCCGCCCGUAGUUUAGGGCCCAGACGCCUGGCUUUGCACUACUCCUUCCCCGCUGUUGCUUGCCAUCACGGAGAUGCUGCAAGGUCACUGCCCCGGAGAUGGGGGAACAGACAAGGGCAGCCCACCCCCCAGGCCUCCGGGCAGUGCCCACCCCACGCUGGUAGGACGGAGGCGAUGGGACCGGAGAUUUGAGGAGGCCUGUCGAUGACAGGGUCAUGGGUGGGUGGGCGCACGGCGUGGCCCCCCUCACCCGCUCAGCCUUAGGAGGCACGGCCUGGCACACGGGCCCCCCACCCCCGAGGCAGGGGGAGUGCCACCCAGGGCUACAAGAAGCAUGGGGGCUCGGUUUUUACGGCCUUUGUGAUGAAUCGGUGUUUAGGGAGGAACUUCAGUCUAGACAGGCACCUUCUGCCAGGGCCCCCCGUGCACUGCAUCAUUUUUCUUCCAGAUCAUCCCUUAGAUGCCUAAAUGAUAUCUUUAGAGUAACACAAAAGUUUUUAUUUUAUUAAAAAGUAGAGCCUACUUAAAGACGCCAUAUAUAAAGAGUUUAAUUCUAUGGUCCCACCGCAGGGGAGCACCUCCAGCCUGAUUCUCCACUGUUCGCAUCUGCGUGGUUUCGGGUUUGGGGUAUGUUCCUAACACACAGGACUCCUUGUCUGUUUUCUUUGUGCUUUUUUGCUUUUUGACCUGUCAUACAGGUACCCCGAAAGGCAGACCCACUCCCCGCACCCCCAUAAUGCUGUGUGUAAGUACACGUAAAGUACAGCCACCACUGUUUUCCUCGCUGUCAUUUUCCAAGUCUUGGAGAGAAGACAUCCUCCCCUGACGGCCAGUGCCCCAGAAUGAAGGAUUUCCAUGUCCUCUUGGUGGCAUGGCCAGGGGUGUCCCACCUUCCCCCCUUCUCCCCUAUAAAACACAGACACCCCCAGGGAGGGAUGCUCGUGCCCGGUCCUGAGACCGACAGCCAGACCCUCGGGGAGACGGGACGGGAGGUGGCACCUGGAUCACAAAGUCAGCAGGGCAUCCACGGCAGGAGGCCGGCGGGUCCCCGCGGGAAGGCGUCCUGCUUGUGAUUAGGUGUGGGCUAGAGUGUGGUGCCUGAUGCGGAAUGUUUGUCAAUGCGUUGAGAGGCCUGUGAAACACUGCAGAAGUGUCCCCGGAGUCUGUCCCCCUCCCCGUCUCUGUGAAGCUGCAUCUUUCUGUGUGUCCUCGAUGUUCCCAUCCGUGCGUCACCGUCACUCAGCUUCCUUUUGGCCCCGUAACACGCCAGUCUCUCUGCGCGCCCGGCUUCUCACCAGCCCAGCUUGGCCAGGGAGCGGAGUUCGCAGCACCUGGUACGCGUCCCUCCACUCUGCGAUCUGAGCCCUGGCCACUGGAAACCCCCGGUUUCUCACUAGUGAACGUCAUGUUGGACUAGGGGAGCCUGGAAAAAUAAAGGAUGAUGUAUUAUAA